rnacentral:tRNA from 1 species
GCGCCAUUAGUUCAGUGGAUAGAACAAGGGCCUCCUAGACCCUCGGUCGCAAGUUCAAACCUUGCAUGGCGCU